GCCUGCAGAGAAGAUGGAGAUGAGCUGUGUGUGUUUGGUGCUGGUCCUGCUGAUGACCGUAUCAUUGGAUUCUUGCACCUUUAGCCCUUGCCCUGAUCAGUGCUGUUUCGACUUUAAAUAUCUUCAAAUUACAGAAGAAUACAUCAUAAAAAUUUUAAAAACACAUCCUCUCUAGCGAGAGCCCGGCUACAUUUACAACAUCUGAAGGCAAAUUCUGCAUGGAGGAAGAUGUCCUGGCAUCUCUUACACAGCAACAGAGCACUGAGCCACCUGGGUUUUUC